rnacentral:rRNA from 1 species
GAUGAACGCUGGCGGCGCGCCUAACACAUGCAAGUCGAACGAUUAAAGCACCUUCGGGUGUGUAUAAAGUGGCGAACGGCUGAGUAACACGUGGGCAACCUGCCCCUUUCAUUGGGAUAGCCACGGGAAACCGUGGAUAAUACCGAAUACUUCGAGACUUCCGCAUGGAAGACUCGAGAAGGCUCCGGCGGAGAGGGAUGGGCCCGCGGCCUGUUAGCUUGUUGGUGGGGUAACGGCCUACCAAGGCAAUGAUGGGUAGCUGGGUUGAGAGACCGACCAGCCAGAUUGGGACUGAGACACGGCCCAGACUCCUACGGGAGGCAGCAGUGGGGAAUCUUGCACAAUGGGCGAAAGCCUGAUGCAGCGACGCCGCGUGCGGGAUGAAGGCCUUCGGGUUGUAAACCGCUUUCAGCAGGGACGAGGCGAAAGUGACGGUACCUGCAGAAGAAGCCCCGGCUAACUACGUG